UUCCUGGUUCGGUCUGUUCUCUGUUCCUUUUUAUCUUCUUGGCGCUUUUGAAAAAUAGAAACCCGCCACUAAAGCGUCAAUCUUCCACGUGUCCCACUCCAGUGCUCUGUUUCAUAUCUUCGGAGACGUCAAUCUGACUUAGGGAUGCUUCAAGUCUACCAUGUGAUUUAUUUUUACGAAGUAAAAUUGCUUACCAAUGGCUGUUUCUCUUAUUAACUUAAACAAUUGUUCCAACAUAUUUGGGAAGAAUGAAUGUAUAGAAGGUUCCCAUUUCUUUCUCUCCCACCAGUCAAGCUCCAUUUCAGUAUGUUGGCGGAGGACGCCAUCAAGGCAGCUGUGAAAGACUACAAGGAGAAGUGUGUGAAAACAAACGGUUAUGCAACAGCCGGAUAAACCACACAGGCUUGAUUUUCUUUUAACCAAUGAGUAAACCAUAACGUGUAUAUGACGGUGAAAACAGGGGAGAAGUAGAAGAGGAUACAUACAACCUAUGGUUUGUAAUGAAACUCUGUUGACAAAAAUAUCCAAGAAUGAUUUGCUUUUGCCCUCUAGUU